UGCGUAGGCGGCUAGAUAAGUUGGGUGUGAAAUCCCUCGGCUCAACCGAGGAACUGCGCUCAAAACUGUCUAGCUUGAGGGAUACAGAGGUAAGCGGAACUUGCAGUGGAGCGGUGAAAUGCUUUGAUAUUGCGAGGAACACCAGUUGCGAAGGCGGCUUACUGGGUAUCUUCUGACGCUGAGGCACGAAAGCUAGGGGAGCGAACG
rnacentral:rRNA from 1 species